rnacentral:rRNA from 1 species
AGUGAACGCUGGCGGUAGGCCUAACACAUGCAAGUCGAACGGCAGCACGGUAAGAGCUUGCUCUUACGGGUGGCGAGUGGCGGACGGGUGAGGAAUACAUCGGAAUCUACUUUUUCGUGGGGGAUAACGUAGGGAAACUCACGCUAAUACCGCAUAUGACUUACGGGUGAAAGCAGGGGAUCUUCGGACCUUGCGCGAUUGAAUGAGCCGAUGUCGGAUUAGCUAGUCGGCGGGGUAAGGGCCCACCAAGGCGACGAUCCGUAGCUGGUCUGAGAGGAUGAUCAGCCACACUGGAACUGAGACACGGUCCAGACUCCUACGGGAGGCAGCAGUGGGGAAUAUUGGACAAUGGGCGCAAGCCUGAUCCAGCCAUACCGCGUGGGUGAAGAAGGCCUUCGGGUUGUAAAGCCCUUUUGUUGGGAAAGAAAAGCAGCAGGUUAAUACCCCGCUGUUCUGACGGUACCCAAAGAAUAAGCACCGGCUAACUUCGUG